GACCUUUUCCCUUCUACAUUGAGAGACUUAUUGGAGCAAGGAGGAAUGGUGAUAUAUUUUUCGAAAAAAAAGAUGAAAAAAUAGUCUGCUAUGAUUUAAGUACACACAUGGUUGAGGAACUCGGUCUUGAAGAAGCACCAUCAAAUAGAAUAAUUUACAAGAAAAAGUGGUUUGUCAAAUCCAGUGAAUCAUUAGUUGGUUUUCUUGUUCUCAACUAAGAGAUUUAUGAUUCUGUUUAUUAGGAUCAUUUUACCUUGGAUAAUAAAAAGUGGUUUUAUAAUUAUGAAUAUUGUUUCUUUAUAAAUUUUAUUAUAUUGAAAGUCUGUUAUCUUUCCAUUUGAAAGUAUACGUUUGACUUGAUGAAAAUAUCAAGUUAUUUGAAAUGCCUUAAAGAAAGAUGAUUAACUGAUUGUUUUGCAGAAUGCAAAUGAAUGAUCCAACUGUAGGAAACAUAUUACAAAGAAGGGUUCCUUUUCGGUGAGUUCCAUGUAUAGGAAAUUGGAUGAAUUGGUGGUGAUCGUCCCGCGAACGGAGGUGCAGCUGUCAGCGUUUUCACAUAUUUGGAAGAGUCCGGCACCGCCAAAGGUGAUUGCCUUUUCUUGGAAGUUUCUUCGCGAAAGGAUACCGACUAGAGCCAACCUAUCGAGGAGGCAUGUCCUUCCACCGGACUCCACUCUUUCCUGUGUGUUGUGUGAUGGGGUUCCGAAAGUGACGGAUCAUCUUUUCCUCAACUGUAUUAUGGCAACAGCAGUUUGAACCAAGCUUCUGUCGUGGCUCGGUUUCAAUUUUCAUCCGCCACCGGAUUUGUUUCAUCUUUGGAAGUGGUUGGAUGAGUUGUCAAGGAAUAAGAAGAUUUGGAAGGGUUAUCGGAUUAUUUGGCACGCCGCGGUUUGGACUAUUUGGAGAGUUAGAAAUGACUUCAUUUUCAACAAUUCUCCUUUUCGCAUUGAUGAGAUGGUGGAGGACAUUAAGGUGUUAGCAUGGAGGUGGGUUUUGAGCCGCUUGAAUUGCCGGUUUGUUUGUACUACAAAUGGACUUGGAAUCCACAAGAGUGUCUGGUGCGGUAAUGGUGGUUUUUGGGGUCUGUUACGUGGGUGCUGCGGCUUUGGUAUGCUGCUGUUCUGAUUUUUCGGCUAGGAGUAUAUGACAGCCUCGCUGCUGUCCUGCUUCUUUGCACCUGUGCUGCUGUGCUGUUGCUGGUCUGGUAUGCCUGACUGGUUUUUCAGCUGCUGGGGGUUUUUUGGUUCUGUUUUUUCCCUCCCUGCAUGGUGUGGCUAGGUGCUUUUAUGUUUUUUGCUGUGCUGUUUUUGCGCACUUUCUUGUAUCUCAGUUUUGGCCGCGAGUUUUUGUGCGUCUUGCACAAUCUCGACGUGAAUAAAAUUUCGCUAUUUCAAAAAAAA
rnacentral:lncRNA from 1 species